AGCAUGCAGGAAAUACUCCUAUGCCAUCAAAACCCCCCCACAACAUCAGCUCACCUGAAGAGAAUCUCACUGUCCAGAAAAUGGACCCCAUCAGCACCAGUAGUCUGUGCUGCUCUCCUGGUUAUUUUACCCUUCACUGUCUUCUGGUGGAUCAGAAGAAAAAGGACUUCCAGGUAAAAUCCUAGAACUGAAACGUCAGACAACAUGGAGCAGAUAAACUCUGGUCCUGUGUAUGACAACAUCUCAGCUCCACCACCAGUCUCCCCUACAGCAGAGUGCACUUCUCUAAGAGCCAGACGGAUCCUCUCUACUCCACCGUGCAGCCCCGACGACAGGAGCAUGUGCACUAGGGCUGUUGUCAACUUUAGACGAAACAGGCCCUCUGAGUGAACAUCUGUCAUUACAAAUUAUUCAGACUCUUUGUCACCUUGCUUAUAAAAGACAAGUAGCUGUAUACCGCGGUCAACAAGACU